AGAGGCUGAGCGAGUUUUGUUUCCUGUUUUCUAGGUCUACAGGAGCUGAUUUGAACUGUUUCAAUAUUCUCACCAGCCAACAUGUCAGGGAGGGAGCCACAGAGACCCCCAGGGAGGAGUUCUGGCAGUUUCCAAUGAAAAACAACAAAAUGGGGAUUCAUACAGACACCAGGCUGAUGGACUCAAAGACUCGGUGUGGAUUCUGCUGUUUACCAGGUCUGGCAGGAUGAAGCAUUACCAGCUGGACCGCCUCCACUCGGCCCUCCCCCCGCUGACAACUGGAGCCCACUGCCACAACUGGACCCCAUCACCGGGGCGGGCUGACAGCCAGCCUGCCAGAUGUGAGGCCCUCUCUGCACUGUCUAUAAUCCAAGCAGAAACUGAAA